UGGUGGCAGGUGUGAUAACACCCAGGUAACAGAGGGAGGAGACAGACCUUCCAGAAAGGCGGGAGGCUCCCAGUGAAUCUGAAAACCUGAAUGUCCAGACAGGCAAGUGACUGCGGGGGUGUUUGUUAUUCAUCAUGGAACUCCUCCAGGACCUGGCGAAUAGAGGACAUGGGAUUUCACCAAGAAGGGGACUCCAUCCCAGGGCAAGGUGAAGGCUUUGGCAUUGAAAGUGGACGAGGAAUUGGACACCGAGGACAGCCAUGGGAAUGGAAGGCAACAGAUGGAAGAAGGAAGCUGGACUCAUCUGAGCGCCUACUCUGUGCCACUUCCAGGCAAAAUGUCAGCAGUUCCAGCAAAAUCAUCAGGAAGAAACAUGGUCUUGAAUCUGAAAACUUUCAAGCCGGAAGGGAAGCUAGAAACCACAUGGUCUAGUCUUCUCUUACUCAACUUGCCCAGAGUCCCCGAGCUUUGGAAUAGUUUUUCUUUCUAGGAAAGCCAUUGUCCUAUAAUAAAUCUCCU
ensembl:lincRNA